rnacentral:rRNA from 1 species
AUGAACGCUAGCUACAGGCUUAACACAUGCAAGUCGAGGGGCAGCAUUUUAGUUUGCUUGCAAACUAAAGAUGGCGACCGGCGCACGGGUGAGUAACACGUAUCCAACCUGCCGAUAACUCGGGGAUAGCCUUUCGAAAGAAAGAUUAAUAUCCGAUAGUAUAUUAAAACCGCAUGGUUUUACUAUUAAAGAAUUUCGGUUAUCGAUGGGGAUGCGUUCCAUUAGUUUGUUGGCGGGGUAACGGCCCACCAAGACUACGAUGGAUAGGGGUUCUGAGAGGAAGGUCCCCCACAUUGGAACUGAGACACGGUCCAAACUCCUACGGGAGGCAGCAGUGAGGAAUAUUGGUCAAUGGACGAGAGUCUGAACCAGCCAAGUAGCGUGAAGGAUGACUGCCCUAUGGGUUGUAAACUUCUUUUAUAUGGGAAUAAAGUAUUCCACGUGUGGGAUUUUGUAUGUACCAUAUGAAUAAGGAUCGGCUAACUCCGUGCCAGCAGCCGCGGUAAUACGGAGGAUCCGAGCGUUAUCCGGAUUUAUUGGGUUUAAAGGGAGCGUAGGUGGAUUGUUAAGUCAGUUGUGAAAGUUUGCGGCUCAACCGUAAAAUUGCAGUUGAAACUGGCAGUCUUGAGUACAGUAGAGGUGGGCGGAAUUCGUGGUGUAGCGGUGAAAUGCUUAGAUAUCACGAAGAACUCCGAUUGCGAAGGCAGCUCACUAGACUGCAACUGACACUGAUGCUCGAAAGUGUGGGUAUCAAACAGGAUUAGAUACCCUGGUAGUCCACACAGUAAACGAUGAAUACUCGCUGUUUGCGAUAUACAGUAAGCGGCCAAGCGAAAGCAUUAAGUAUUCCACCUGGGGAGUACGCCGGCAACGGUGAAACUCAAAGGAAUUGACGGGGGCCCGCACAAGCGGAGGAACAUGUGGUUUAAUUCGAUGAUACGCGAGGAACCUUACCCGGGCUUAAAUUGCAUUUGAAUAAUCUGGAAACAGGUUAGCCGCAAGGCAAAUGUGAAGGUGCUGCAUGGUUGUCGUCAGCUCGUGCCGUGAGGUGUCGGCUUAAGUGCCAUAACGAGCGCAACCCCUAUCGACAGUUACUAACGGGUCAAGCCGAGGACUCUGUCGAGACUGCCGGCGCAAGCCGCGAGGAAGGUGGGGAUGACGUCAAAUCAGCACGGCCCUUACGUCCGGGGCUACACACGUGUUACAAUGGGGGGUACAGAAGGCAGCUACCUGGCGACAGGAUGCUAAUCCCAAAAACCUCUCUCAGUUCGGAUCGAAGUCUGCAACCCGACUUCGUGAAGCUGGAUUCGCUAGUAAUCGCGCAUCAGCCAUGGCGCGGUGAAUACGUUCCCGGGCCUUGUACACACCGCCCGUCAAGCCAUGAAAGCCGGGGGUACCUGAAGUACGUAACCGCAAGGAGCGUCCUAGGGUAAAACUGGUAAUUGGGGCU